ACAAGCGGUGGAGCAUUGUGGUUUAAUUCGAUGCAACGCGAAGAACCUUACCUACUCUUUGACAUCCGGAGAAUUUGCUAGAGAUAGCUUAGUGCCUUCGGGAACUCUGAGACAGGUGCUGCAUGGCUGUCGUCAGCUCGUGCUGUGAAAUGUUGGGUUAAGUCCCGCAACGAGCGCAACCCUUAUCCUUUGUUGCCAGCGAGUAAUGUCGGGAACUCAAAGGAGACUGCCGGUGAUAAACCGGAGGAGGGUGGGGAUGACGUCAAGUCAUCAUGGCCCUUACGAGUAGGGCUACACACGUGCUACAAUGGCAUAUACAAAGAGAAGCGAACUCGCGAGAGCAAGCGGACCUCAUAAAGCCAAUCUCAGUUCGGAUUGUAGGCUGCAACUCGCCUACAUGAAGUCGGAAUCGCUAGUAAUCGCGGAUCAGCACGCCGCGGUGAAUACGUUCCCGGGCCUU
rnacentral:rRNA from 1 species